AUGCUAUUAUAGCAACUUGGAUGGAAUUACACAGUUUCAUUAGUAAAAGCAAUCAUGAGUAGGACGCAAAAAAUGAUCCUAUAGCAGGAUUGUUCAAGUUUCUUAGCAGUGCUUUCAUAACACUGACAAAAAAUUGUGCAAAUUUAUGUGUAAUUCGUAACAUAAAGUCUAAAAUGUAUUGUUUCCUAGCUUUAACAAAACAUUGUUUCUUAAGAGUUUCUAGCUAAAUUAUAGUUCAGGUUAUUUAUAAUAUUAAAAAUACCUUAGUAACUGCCCACAGCAAUAUCACCUUCUAAAUGAGAUGAUUGAAAGUACUGCAAUAUCUCUGAGACUCCCAUCUAUAAAAUAGAAAUAGUUCUUAUGAUCAUAUAUGGUAAAUUUCUGUAAUGUGCAAGACCAAGAAUUUGAAACUAUUAAUUGUCUUUGCCAUUAAUAGAGUUUAGACUCCCGAAACAUAGAAGUGACUCAGCAAGACACUAACCCACCGGUUUCUGUGGCCAAAUUAAAUUUCAAGGGAAGUCUUUUUCUGCCUCUACACUAUUUUCUGUUGUGGUAUAUUUUCCUUUGAAUUCACUCUGUCCUGCACCUUUGAUGUGUAGAAAUACAAUGCCUGGAAAUAGUAUAAACACCUUCUAAUUGUGGUCACUCCUGUCCUUUAUUGCUAGUUAUGGUACAACUGUUUAGCCUGUUGAAGGCAGAGUACAUAUAUAUGUAAGCCUUCUGUCUGAUAAAGGAAGAUCUCAACAAAGCUGAGAACUGGAAGAGAAAUAGGAGACACUCACCACUCUGAAUGAGAGAAUAAAUCUUUCUCCAGGGUUACAUUUUGUCAAUCAAAAGUAUAUGUGCCUAUAGAUAUAAAUAAUAACAUUGAUUUGCUGGUGUAUGAGGCAGUCCAUACUUCACAGAUGAAUUGUUGGGUAGCCAUUACUUCUGAAGAAGUUAACUGUGUCCAUGUUGAAGGACGUGAGUUAGAACUAUUCAUGCCAGAUCUUGGUACCAAUUAUUGAGCUCAAUACAUCUUCAGUAAGCUAGGUGGGGGUGUUUGUUUCACUUUAUGGUUUUAUUGGAAAUCACUUAAAUGAAAUUUGUAGUUUGAGUCACACCUAAUUCAAAUGUAGUCUGGUUUUUCUGGAAAAAAUAAAAAUUGCUACCGAAGCUUUCACUAUUCCUCAAAAUUUGUUACCUUUUAUUUAUACACAUCUGGAUUGUGUCAAUGCAAAUGACUUUUGAUGCUUUGGAAUAGCAUGAAGAAUAUGCACUGUUCAUACCAGUGUGUCAGGCUUCUUAUUUGCAGUGACACAAUGCAUUACCAUGAAAAAUGUUGCGUUUCUUGAUUAGGAAAUCAUAAUUUCAGUACUAUACAUUCCAACAUUUUACUUCUCAUAGUGAGCUUUUGCAGGAGUAUGAGAUACACAGAUACUGUGUCAACUUACUAAGAAUUACAACCACAGUAUGUAAAUCAAGAUAAUCUGAGGGGAAAAGCAGUGUUCUUUAGCAGAGAUACUACAUAUCAAUCCUUAAAGACUGUAAGGAAGAUGAAAUUUAUUAUAAAGGUUCACUGUUUACAUAAACAUUAAUAUUUUCAAUAAUAUUGAAUGCAGUGAUGAAAAUAAAUUAUUAAAUAUACAUUCAUUGACAUUUCUGAAGGAAUAGUCAUUGUACCAUUACGAUAAUGACUUUUAAAGGGCAAAUUUUACCAUUAAAAAAACAAAAUAAAUCAAUCUGAAUUCAAGAGAGAUUUAAAAAUCUUUAUGGAACACAGUUUAUUUAUUUAUCAGAUCAAAUACAAAAGUACCUCAACUUACUUAUGAUGUUUCCCUUGAGCAGGAACUUUGCCUUUCCCAUCCCUACCAUUAAUGCUGCCGAACUGCAUCAUCGUUAUCAUUGGACAGAGUUGCCACAAGGCACCAGCCGCAGCCAGACUAAAAAUUGCUGAAGAUGAAAUUCAGAAGACACCCUCCUGGUUAUACUUGGGAUGGAAGAUUUUACAACAGAACGUCCAGCUACAGACCCUGACAAUAGGAACAAAGAUUAAUACUUUGAAUGAAUUACAGAAACUGUCAGGCACCAUAAAUUGGGUAAGACCACAGGAGCCUCUACAGAGGACCUCCAUCCCCUCUUUAAAUUAUUGGAAGGGGACCCAGAGUUGUUAUCACUGUGGCAUUUGACUGCUGAAGCUAAAACAGCUCUGAAUACAGCUGUUACAAAGAUGAAUCAACAAGCAUCACAUCACAGAAAGAUAAACCUGCCAACUAGCCUUUUUGUUAUUAGUUCUAGUAGUUAUUAGUGUCGAUCUGCCUAGGUGUAGGAGGGCCCUAUAUCUGUACAGGCUGGAUUGAUGAGCUGAGGCCAAUGGUGUGAUCUUUAACAAGACCUAGUGCUGGGUACAUUUUGUGUACAACAACCCCUUGCAUCUACAGGACUGCGCUAUAGUGGCUAGAAUGCUGAAUUCUGGCUUGUAUGAGAAAUAGUGUUGCCAGCAGAAGCAGAAUGAUAUUUGUCCCCCUAUAUUUAGCUGCGGUGGAGCUACAUAUCGAGAACUGUGUUUAGUUUGGGGCCACUUAUUAUGACAAAGGCAUUGAGGAACCAGAGAUUGUCAAGAGAAGAACAACAAAACAGGUGUGGGUUCUUAAGAAGAGUGGCUGAUGGAUCUGGGAUUGUUUAAUCUGAAGAAGAGGAGGUUCAGGGGAGACGUUAUUACUCUACUACUACCUGAAAGGAGGUUGUGCUGAGGUGGUAGCUGGACUCUUCUCACAGAUAACAGUGAUAGGAAAAGAGGUAGCGCCUUUGAGUUGUGCCAGGGGAGGUUCAGAUAUUAGUAUUCAGAUAUUAGUAAAGAUUUUGUCCCUGAAAGAGUGGUAAUGUGUUAGAACAGACUACCCAGGGAGGUGGUUGGGUCACCAUCCCUGGAGGUGUUCCAAGAAAAGGGUGGAUGUCACAGGCUGGAAGUUCCCUGUGUCCAAUACUGCAGGUGUAGAAAUCAAUACCCACUCUGACUUGUUGGCAUUCUUUAACAGCAGCAGAAUCUUGAGCUGGUGUCACACAUAAUUCUACCAGUAAAAUUUAUAUUUAAAAGUCUCUUACUGUAUUCCCUUUGAAAUUCAUUGUUUAUUGAAUUAUUGUAGGUUACUCUGAUGCAGCUAAUGUACAUGUCAGACAAUUUUUUCCAAUGUUAUUCUGAAAUCUUUUGGGGAGUCCUCUUCUAGCUAAGAAAAAAAAGGCAGAAUACCUUACAUUCCUUCAUCUUGCACUGAAAACUCUGUAUUAAAAACAGAUUCCCUGUUCAUCUCCUCCAAUGUGCAUUGAGCAAAAAUGAAAAACUAGUAGCAGAGUAGUUGCUGUAGGAGCAGCAAUCAGAUUGAAGUUUGAAUCAUUACCUGUAAAGGUAGUUUACCAAAAACUUUAAACAGCAGGCAGUAGCAUAGAACUCAAGCUAUUUCAGUGGCAUUUCACAUUCUGAUAAGCACGCUAUGAAUUACUCUGGAUAUGUUUAUGUCACAGGGAGGACAGUUCCAUUUGCAGCAUAUCUGCACUUUUAUUUUUGAUAGGUUCAAUCAGACUCACAAACUGGGACUAUGUGUAAGUGUAAGAGCAGGAGAUGUAAGGCCAUCACGAACAGUUCAGUAAAAAGACUCAUGUAUGCCAAAGCAUAUUUCUUUUGCGAGCAUGCAAUCAAGUCAUAUGCACAUUAAAAUGAUGGAGGAAAUAAGACCUAGAGAGAUGCAAGCAUUGUCAUUUUCACAGAGAUAUAGGUUUUCUCCAUCUCCCAGCAGCUUUGAAACACCUGAUACCUUUUUUCAUAUCUUUUCAGGCUGUGGAACAAGAACUCUAGCAUACAGAAUCGAAAAUCAAAUCAAAUAAAAUUUCCAGUGAAAACAUGUCAACACUAAUAAGGAUUGGAAAUCAGACAUCAGCCUGUAUUUAAUGAGACAGAGUAACGUGUUUUCUCUGAGAAUAGUUUGUUCUACAUUUGCUAAACAGUCUUCUGUGUACUGGUCAGCACUGGAAUUAAGCAUAGGCUGGUCCUUGGUGCUGUAUGGCAGUUCUAGAAAAUUGUUCAUAUAUUCCACUGGUUCCUUUGCAUUUAUUUCCUCAUUCUUCCUUAGCAAGAGAAAAUAAACAGAGAGUUUACAUUCUGAUCCCAGUUACUGCACUAUAAACUUGAUGGAAUGUUGUCACUUGAGAAAAUGCCUCUGAAUUUAUGUCAGUGCAAUUGAAUAUAACAAAAUCUGGCAGUGCCAUGAAAGAAAAAAAAAAAAAAAAAAAAAAAAAAAGGCAGA